rnacentral:rRNA from 1 species
AGCAGCCGCGGUAAUUCCAGCUCCAAUAGCGUAUAUUAAAGUUGUCGCAGUUAAAAGCUCGUAGUUGAAUUUCGGAAUCAGUACGCUGGUCGUGCCUUAGGUAUGCACUGGUGUCACUGGUUUCUCCCUUCUGACGAACCGUCAUGCCAUUAACUUGGUGUGGCGGGAAAUCAGGACUGUUACUUUGAAAAAUUAGAGUGUUUAAAGCAGGCUCACGCUUGAAUACAUUAGCAUGGAAUAAUGAAAUAGGACGUUGAUCUUAUUUUGUUGGUUUCUAGGAUUGACAUAAUGAUUAAUAGGGAUAGUUGGGGGCAUUAGUAUUCAAUUGUCAGAGGUGAAAUUCUUGGAUUUAUUGAAGACUA